rnacentral:lncRNA from 1 species
UUGGUAAAAAUGAUACGUUAGUAUGUGAUUGGUUGAUGGUGGGAAAAAUAUGAACGAUUUAUUCGGUAACAUGGGGAAGUGUGUAUGAACCUGAUCCAUAGGAAAAACCUUACCGUGGACAUUGCUUCAGUCGAACGAGGCUGAGAAGUCCUAUAAUAGAAGGGGUUGGGAGGUAUAGUUCACCAUCAUACUGGACGAGAUAUUGAGACGGUGGUAUGUUUGGCGCCCAUUACUAGACGGGGUAUGAAGACGAUCAGUUAAUCGAUAAAUUGGAUAU